rnacentral:misc_RNA from 1 species
GAUGAAGAACGCAGCGAAAUGCGAUACGUAGUGUGAAUUGCAGAAUUCAGUGAAUCAUCGAAUCUUUGAACGCACAUUGCACCUCUCGGUAUUCCGGGAGGUAUGCCUGUUCGAGCGUCAUUUGUACCCUCAAGCUCUGCUUGGUGUUGGGUGUUUGUUUCGCCUCUGUGUGUGAACUCGCCUCAAAACAAUUGGCAGCCGGCGUACUUGUUUCGGAGCGCAGCACAUUUUGCGAUCCAGAUCAACGUACAGCGGCAUCCAAGAAGCCUUAUUUAACGCUCUUGACCUCGGAUCAGGUAGGGAUACCCGCUGAACUUAAGCAUAUCAAUAAGCGGAGGA